AAGAAACGAAGGAUAAGACAGAAAGUGCAUGUCAGAACAAACACUGUUGGCUUGGGUUUUGCUUUUUGGAUGAAUGGAGGGCUUCAAAGGAAAGGAAUCCCUUCUCAUCCAUACGUUCUUCUCUCUCUCUCUCUCUCUUAACUUCCUCUAUUUUUUCUACGCUAGCCAAAUACCGAUGUUGGAUUAUUCUUUUGCAGCUGCUUCUCACUCUCGGCCUCUCCGUCGGUCUAUCAAUUGUCCGAUCCCAAUCCCCACCAGCCUCUACUCCUUUCUAUAACAUCUUUUGUCCUACUUUACUCCGACCACCGUCAGAUUUCAACAAAAUUUUCUCUAUUUCUACUAGACACCGCCACUGAAUCUAAGUAAUUGUGUAAUUAAUAUUAUUUGACUGAUUCCUUGUUGGAAUGGGAUUCAAUGCUUAAACAAUUCCUUAUUGGCAUAAGAUUCACUAAUCCCUCUACUUAUCAGGCAGUGGAAGGAGCCAUCGGCACCCGUUUAAAUAUAAUAUAAAAGACCCUACUCAAUCGAAGU
rnacentral:misc_RNA from 1 species